rnacentral:rRNA from 1 species
UACAGAGGUCCCAAGCGUUGUUCGGAUUCAUUGGGCGUAAAGCGUGCGUAGGUGGUUCGUUAAGUCUGAUGUGAAAGCCCUGGGCUCAACCUGGGAAUGGCAUUGGAAACUGGCGACCUAGAGUGCGGUAGAGGGUAGUGGAAUUCCCGGUGUAGCAGUGAAAUGCGUAGAGAUCGGGAGGAACAUCCGUGGCGAAGGCGACUACCUGGACCAGCACUGACACUGAGGCACGAAAGCGUGGGGAGCAAACAGG